UGGGGGAUAUUGCACAAUGGGCGAAAGCCUGAUGCAGCGACGCCGCGUGGGGGAUGAAGGCCUUCGGGUUGUAAACUUCUUUUGCUCUGAACAAGGCAUGCUAAUGGGUGUGUUGAGUGUAGGGGUUGAUUAGCGCCGGCUAACUACGUGCCAGCAGCCGCGGUAAUACGUAGGGCGCGAGCGUUGUCCGGAAUUAUUGUGCGUAAAGGGCUUGUAGGUGGCUGGUUGCGUCUGUCGUGAAAGCUCAUGGCUUAACUGUGGGUUUGCGGUGGGUACGGGCUGGCUUGAGUGCAGUAGGAGAGGCUGGAAUUCCUGGUGUAGCGGUGGAAUGCGCAGAUAUCAGGUAGAAUACCGGUGGCGAAGGCGGGUCUCUGGGCUGUUACUGACACUGAGGAGCGAAAGCAUGGGGAGCGAACAGG
rnacentral:rRNA from 1 species